GGGAGUGAAUAGGUCCUGGUGGGUCUCCUGGGCUUCAAACUCAGUGCUGGAUAUGUUUUCAUAUUCAGGGUGGGUUCAAUUCCCACACGCUCCCGCCA
rnacentral:tRNA from 1 species